rnacentral:lncRNA from 11 species
UUUUUCCCUACUCCUGCUUGCAGGAUAGAACAGCAGGGACAAUAAACCUUAUGCUGCAGUUCAGAAAUAGCACACAUCAGUGAGAGAAGCCUGUGUGACUUUGUGGGAACAUUCAGGCAGUUGCUGUUUCAAGCCCUUCUGAUUGCUGGGGACGGUUGCAUUGAGAGAGGAACCAUAUAGGAAAUUUCACAUGAGACAAGUCCUGGGGAUGUCCUCCGACUCCACCCCUGAUUCAAUCCUGCUCUUCUCUCUCUCAAAUUAGGAAUAGUCAGACAGACAGUAUGGAGGAACAGCUUGACGCAGUGGAGUAAACUGUCAAUGAGUACAAAAUGGGAAGAUCUUCCACACAUGAAAAUCAGCUCAACACGAAAGCAAGCUCCAAGUCUUCUUUUGCCUGCAGCCAAGCACCUCCCAGAACUUGCAUCCUUGCCUUGGAAAGAGAGAAUGUGUGUGACAUAACGCGCAGGCCUGGAAAGCGUGUGCACUUCCAGGGCCUGCAGCCGAGCGCCUCUUAUUCUAGAGUAGAAACAGCAGAGCAUGCAUCCAGAGAGGAACAUAGAGGCGAACCAGAUGAGUGAUGUAGUGCAGGUGACCACGGCUCCCAAAUGGACCACGCUAAUGAAAUUCUAUCUGCAUAGAAAAAUCCUCGCCUCCCUUUAGAAGGCACGACGCUGGACUGGCAAUGUGUUCGUUCGUUCGCCUGGCCUGCUAACUUUUACAUCCUACGAUGUAAAGGGGAAUCUUUUGUUCUGUAAACACUCAUUAAGUCCCAUUAGUAUCCAUAUUCAAGGCUCCAGGCACUGUGUUGGUACUGUUGUUAGGGGAGAUGAAAGGCAAUAAGAAGGAACAAUAAACAAUCAGUGCAAAAUAUUAUUAGGCAUACUCAUGCGGUGAGCUUGUGAUGAAAUCCAGAAGAUCCUUGUAUUAGCUGAAACGGAAAGAGAAAGAAGAGAAGGAAGAGGAGAAGAGGCAUUGUAGCUACAACUCUCAGCUGUUCACAGUGACAAGAACCUUGAAUAGCUCUCUCGUGGUUGGCUUUGCUGCAGUGAAUUGGUACAUGUUUGAAGUGCAGGUGCUCCACAUGACAGUCUCCAUAGCCAUGCUCCCAAGGAGAAAAUGCAGGCAGCUGCACUAAUGCAUUUGCAAGAGGAAUCUGCGGUAGCCUUUUCCAACUCCACAUGCAGCAUGUGUUUGUAAAGCUAACGGGUUUUAAUGGCUCGCUUGAACCCAAAGUAAGGUAUAAAGGUAAAACAACAACAACUCUUUAUUG